rnacentral:rRNA from 1 species
UUGACGGGGCCGCACAAGCGGUGGAGCAUGUGGUUAAUUCGACGCAACGCGAAGAACCUUACCAGGGCUUGACAUCCCCUGACCGCGUAUGAAAGUACGUUUUCACCCUCGGGUGACAGGGAGACAGGUGGUGCAUGGUUGUCGUCAGCUCGUGUCGUGAGAUGUUGGGUUAAGUCCCGCAACGAGCGCAACCCCUACGUUUAGUUGCUAACGCGUGAAGGCGAGCACUCUAGACGAACUGCCGUUGACAAAACGGAGGAAGGUGGGAUGACGUCAAAUCAUCAUGCCCCUUAUGUUCUGGGCUACACACGUGCUACAAUGGCCGGUACAGACGGACGCAAAGCCGCGAGGUGGAGCAAAUCCUAAAAAGCCGGUCUCAGUUCGGAUUGCAGGCUGCAAUUCGCCUGCAUGAAGUCGGAAUCGCUAGUAAUCGCAGGUCAGCAUACUGCGGUGAAUACGUUCCCGGGCCUU